rnacentral:rRNA from 1 species
UGGGGAAUAUUGCACAAUGGGCGAAAGCCUGAUGCAGCGACGCCGCGUGAGGGAUGACGGCCUUCGGGUUGUAAACCUCUUUCAGCAGGGACGAAGCGCAAGUGACGGUACCUGCAGAAGAAGCACCGGCUAACUUCGUGCCAGCAGCCGCGGUAAUACGUAGGGUGCAAGCGUUGUCCGGAAUUACUGGGCGUAAAGAGUUCGUAGGCGGUUUGUCGCGUCGUUUGUGAAAACCAGCAGCUCAACUGCUGGCUUGCAGGCGAUACGGGCAGACUUGAGUACUGCAGGGGAGACUGGAAUUCCUGGUGUAGCGGUGAAAUGCGCAGAUAUCAGGAGGAACACCGGUGGCGAAGGCGGGUCUCUGGGCAGUAACUGACGCUGAGGAACGAAAGCGUGGGUAGCGAACAGG